rnacentral:misc_RNA from 1 species
CGGUCGUAUUCUAAAAUUAAACUGGCCACACAAGGAGGAGACUGAAGGAUGCCCCCAAAUAGGUCCUGGAUUUGAUGAGUUAAUAGUGAAAUUUAUGUACAAUGAUUCGUGUUUUUCAAUGCUUUUACAGGUAAGGAUAAAUUAACACAAAAUUUCAACUUGAAAUUCUGCUAAAGAUGAUAUGCGCACCAUGUUGGGGCAUCAGGGUUAAGAAAAACAUUGGAGCAUGAACAUAUGUUGGUGACAACGCAAAAGAAAAAUCUCUGAUGAUCAUCGCCAGGACAAUUUUUGC